GCCUGGCUGGCUCAGUCGGUAGAGAUCAUGUGACUCUUGAUCUCAGAGUUGUGAGUUCAAACCCCAUGUUGGGUG
rnacentral:tRNA from 1 species